CAGCAGAAAUCAGUUUGAAAGAAACCUUGACAAUAAAGCAGACAGAGGAGAAUUGGGAUGGAAAAAUAUGAAGAAGAGUAAGGAGAAAUUAAAGAAUAAUAUGGUAGUGUUGGAUGAAUAUCUGAGGACAGACUGUGGAAGAACAUGUUACAACAUACUUCUGAAGUAAAUGUUUUGGCAAUAGGUAUAAGAGAAAGUUGGAUAGUUCUGGAAAAUACCAGCAAACAAUACUAGGAAAAUACAAAAUAAUAAAUAGAGAAGGAGAAGCGGCGCAGUCUCGCGAGAAUAAGAUACUGUGAAGAACUUUGAGAUUCUGCAUAAAGCUGGAGGAAGAAGAAGAAAACCACACAUAAAUAUAUGAGAAUAGUUCUUUCAAGACAUGAGGUAUUCUGGUGAAAAAAUAUUACUUCAAAAUAUUUUAUUUUUAAAAAAUUCUGAUU